UUUUUUUAAUAGCAUCCCGCUCUUAUUUCAGAAUAAAAAAAUUUUUAAGGUAUGUUGAGUAAGAAUCUAUAGAGCAAUGAAAAUGCAAGAGCAAUAGCUAUGGGCACCAAAUGGUCAAUCUUCUUAUCAUAAUGUUGAGUGGAAGAAGCCAGGUCCACCAGACACAUGCUGCUCAUUUAUGCAAAGUUUGGACACAGGCAAAACAAAACUAGUUUGAUCGUGAUGGGAAACAUUAGAGAAAUGCAAAGACAUGACCAUCAUAAUUGUCAGGAGAAGGCAUUGGUUAGGAUUGGGAAGCGGCAAGCAGAAGCAUUUAGGGAUUGGCUGGCAAUGUUUUACUUCUCGGCUGAGUGAGGGUUGCAUCGGUGUUUAUUUGAUAACACGUUCUAGGGGCUGGGCAAGAUGGCUCAUGUUUGUAGUCUCAGUACUUUGGGAGGCCAAAGAUGGGAGGAUUGCUUGAGCCCGUGAGUUUGAGACCAGCCUGGGUGACAUAGCGAGACCCUGUCUCUACAAAAAAUUAAAAAAAAAAAAAACAAAAAAAACCAGCUGAGUUUGAGGCUACAGUGAGCUAUGAAUGAGCCACUGCACUCCAGCCUGGGCAACAGGGCAAGACCCUGUCUCAAAAAAAAAAAAAAUUUAAUUUGAACACUUCUGUUUUGUGCAGUUUUCUCUGUUAUAUUUUACUUUUUAAAAAG
rnacentral:lncRNA from 1 species